GACCGGGGCUCGAACCCGCGUCCCCUGCAUCGGCAGGCAGACUCUCAACCACUGCGCCACCAGGGAAGCCCGCUAGGCCUUUCUUGAUCAGAGCAUGAACUUGACUGUGUUGUGGUCAGUUAUCUAUUGCCCACACUAUGCCACAGACCCUUGUGGGCAUGCACCAGCUCUUAUUCAACUUAAAUAGUACACAGCACAUAUUAGGUACUUAAGAACAAAUGAUAGUUGUGCAAAACAAAAAAAGGAGUAAUAAUGAUAUGGGAAUAAAGAGACAUGAAUCAAGCAGUGGCUAUUUAAAAGAACUCAGGGAUAAAUACUCAGUGCACUUAUUCUAAACAGCAAAGGCCCAGAUGCACUUGGUCACCAUCGCUCAAAGGAGGUUAGAAUUCUAAUUCCUUGGGCAGUGAUUUUUGACUUUUUUGCUCACUGCUGUGUCCUCAGAACUCAGAGCAGUAUGUGGUAUGGAAGGAGAUCAAUAAAUAUUUGCAGAAUGAGUAUAAGAAUGAAUGAGACACUCUUACUAGAACUGCUCAGUCACUGAAGGUUGAACCUAGGAAAUAUUCUGCAGCCCAGAAUUUACUCCACCACCUCUGCUAUUAACAAAAACAUCUAACAUUCACUGAGAGCUUACUAUAUGCCAGGUACUGUUUAAAAUGCUUACAUCAAUGAUUCCUUUUACUCUUCACAACAAACCUUUAAUGUAUGUGCUGUUUUACAAAAGAGGAGUGGAGACACAAUGGCCCAAGGUGACCCGGGUAGGAAAGAGAAGAGCCAGGCUUCAAACUCAAGCAGUCUGGCUCCAGAAUCUGGCUGUGGCCAACACACACAGAGAAAAAUGGCUGUGCUUGUCCUGCCUGAGCUUGGAGAUCUCAUUUGGUUGAUUGAACCUGUCUGACUUUAGUCAAAUACAGAAACAUGAAAACUUGGCCAGUAUAUCUCUGUUGACUCUUGUUUUUUUUAAGUCCAGCUGCCUAAUUUAUUAAGAAUAGCACAAGUUUUCUGGGCCUAGGGAACUUCACCACAGGAUGCUCCCCAGGUUACCUGUGGCAGUCACAGCUGCGUCCCUGUGGCACGCAGCAUCUCACCCUUCAGAAUUGUUCUUAAAACACUUGAGAUGUUGGAGGAAAGAUGUCCAUAACAGGUCCAAAUGGAUUUUGGGAAGGGAUCCGUAAAUACAAUAUAGAAUUCACCACUGGAUGGCUGGAAAAUUACUCUACUGAAAUGAAUGGAUAAUAAUAAUAACUUCUAAGCUCUGACCACCUACUACAUUCCAAGCACUCUCUAAGUCCUUACUAUAUAUCAUCUAUUCAUUUCAUCUUCCCAGGGACUCUUGUGAGGUAGGAAUUAUUACCCACUUUACAGAUGCGAGGGUAUGUUCAGAAAGGCUGAGAAACUUGACUAGGGUCACACAGUUGGUAGCUGUUAGAGCCGAGAUUUGAAUCCAGUUCCUUCUAACUCCAAAGCCUGUGUCUUGCCACCUUCCAGCCUACAUGGCUUCCCCACAUGUGCUAGAAUAAUGGCUGCACAUGAUUAUUAAUGAAGUCAUUAUUAUUCAUGACUAUCAAAUCCUUCAGUUGCCUGCCAAGAACUUUACUGUAAAACCUCCAAAUUGCGUUUUAUUUUUCAGUCUAUAUAGCUUCUGCUCAAGAUAAUCAGGCAACAAAACCUCCAAAGUAAAAAGAAAUAAUGAGAAAGAAACGGCUGAAAUCAGGACUCUAUUGCUAUAACAGAUGAAGCUGGACAUGUUUAUUCUGGAAGAAAAUGGUGAAGAAGGGGCGAUACUGCUAUAUCAGGGAACCCAGGACAGACCCACAAAUAACGGCAUAGGAAUGGAAUGCAUGCGGAAGAGGGUCAGGUGAAACAAGAAAGGCAGAAAGUUAAUGGUUGUUGAAACUGAGCUGUAGACACAUGGGAGGUCCUUGUACUCGUCAAUCUACUUUUUUGUGUGCUUGAAAAUUUCCAUUAAAGAAAAAAGUCAUGGGC